UCUUCAUUUGUGCUUUGUCAUGUAAUUAUACAUAAUUUAAAAUAUUCGUGUCUGUUGGUUUUACUUUUAUUUGCUACAUAAUGAUAUAAUUAUGAAAUGGCACGCAACAUAGACAUGCCACGUAAAUAUCAAGAAUAUCUCGGAGUGCAAUUAAUAUCUUGUGAAUAUACAAAAAGAUAUUUUUAUUAAUUUUUUGAAAACUAUGGCGUUCGUAUUAAGUGAUACAAUGAAGUAUGAAUACACUAUUCUUUUAAAGCAAGUGGAACAUCAUCGUUAAUAUUUUAAAACAUUACAGUGGAAUUAAAAAUGACUUAGAACAUGUGAUAUGUGUAUUUCAUUUUGUAAUAUAUAAAUGUGUAGCAGCAUAAUAUCUGAGGUGUGCUACAAUACAACAUGUACAGCGCUACCAACAUAACAAUAAGUAAAAUUAUUUAUGUUUUAUAUUAA